rnacentral:misc_RNA from 1 species
GAAAUCCUCAGGAAAUAAACAGCACAGCUUGAAAACUUUCUUGGCUUCAUCAUCUUUUAGGUAAUCAUAGCUAAACUGAAGGCAUUUGUACACAUCUUUAUCCAUCCCUUCAAUGAUUUCUGGCCUUGAUUUCCUAAGCUUCCGAACUGCCACUUGCCAUUCGUCAGGAUCUUUGCCUCUCAUUGCCCUUCCCAUUGUUACAAGAGCUAGAGGCAGGCCUCCACAUUCUUUGAGAAUAUCUUUUGCAGAAGAAUUAAAUGUUGGAGACUCAAUAACAUCGCCUGCAUUUUAAGCAAGACCCAUGAUUCUU